rnacentral:rRNA from 1 species
CCUACGGGUGGCAGCAGUGAGGAAUAUUGGUCAAUGGGCGAGAGCCUGAACCAGCCAAGUCGCGUGAGGGACGACGGUCCUAUGGAUUGUAAACCUCUUUUGUCGGGGAACAAAGGCGCCCACGUGUGGGCGGAUGAGUGUACCAGAAGAAAAAGCAUCGGCUAGCUCCGUGCCAGCGGCCGCGGUAAUACGGAGGAUGCGGGCGUUAUACGGCUUUAUUGGGGUUAAGGGGUGCGUAGGCGGACAGUAAAGUCAGCGGUAAAAAUGCGGUGCUAAACGCCGUACAGCUGUUGAAACUGGGAGUCUUGAGUGGGCGAGAGGUAUGCGGAAUGCGUGGUGUAGCGGUGAAAUGCAUAGAUAUCACGAAGAACUCCGAUUGCGAAGGCAGCAUACCGGAGCCCGACUGACGCUGAGGCACGAAAGCGUGGGUAUCGAACAGGAUUAGAUACCCGGGUAGUC